rnacentral:rRNA from 1 species
GACGAACGCUGGCGGCGUGCCUAAUACAUGCAAGUCGAACGCAGUGGGGACGGGUGAGUAACACGUGGGUAACCUCCCAUCAGAGGGGAUAACACUUGGAAACAGGUGCUAAACCGAUACUGAUGGAUGGACCCGCGGUGCAUUAGCUAGUUGGUGAGGUAACGGCUCACCAAGGCCACGAUGCAUACCCGACCGUGGAGGGUGAUCGGCCACACUGGGACUGAGACACGGCCCAGACUCCUACGGGAGGAAGCAGUAGGGAAUCUUCGGCAAUGAGCGAAAGUCUGACCGAGAAACGCCGCAGGAGUUAAGAAGGUUUUCGGAACGUAAAACUCUGUUGGUAGAGAAGCGGUAUAUAACCAGAAAGCCACGGCUAACUACGUGCCAGCAGCCGCGGUAAUUA